rnacentral:rRNA from 1 species
CCUACGGGAUGCACCAGUGGGGAAUAUUGCACAAUGGGCGCAAGCCUGAUGCAGCCAUGCCGCGUGUGUGAAGAAGGCCUUCGGGUUGUAAAGCACUUUCAGCGAGGAGGAAGGUGGUGAACUUAAUACGUUCAUCAAUUGACGUUACUCGCAGAAGAAGCACCGGCUAACUCCGUGCCAGCAGCCGCGGUAAUACGGAGGGUGCAAGCGUUAAUCGGAAUUACUGGGCGUAAAGCGCACGCAGGCGGUUUGUUGAGUCGGAUGUGAAAUCCCCGGGCUCAACCUGGGAACUGCAUUUGAAACUGGCAAGCUAGAGUCUCGUAGAGGGGGGUAGAAUUCCAGGUGUAGCUGUGAAAUGCGUAGAGAUCUGGAGGAAUACCGGUGGCGAAGGCGGCCCCCUGGACGAAGACUGACGCUCAGGUGCGAAAGCGUGGGGAGCAAACAGGAUUAGAUAUCCUGGUAGUC